GCGGUCAUGGCGGAAUUGGCAGACGCGCUACGUUGAGGUCGUAGUCCCGUAAGGGGUGGAGGUUCGAGUCCUCUUGACCGCACCA
rnacentral:tRNA from 1 species